rnacentral:rRNA from 1 species
UUACGGCCACAUCACGUUGAAACACCGGUCCCCGUACGAUAACAGUAGUUAAGCAACGUCGAGCCUGGUCAGUACCUAGAUGGGUGAGCACUUGGGAAU